rnacentral:rRNA from 1 species
UACGUAGGGGCGCAAGCGUUAUCCGGAAUUAUUGGCGUAAAGAGCUCGUAGGCGGUUUGUCGCGAUCUGCCGUGAAAGUCCGGGGCUCAACUCCGGAUCUGCGGUGGGUACGGCAGACUAGAGUGCGGUAGGGGAGACUGGAAUUCUGGUGUAGCGGUGAAAUGCGCGAUAUCAGGAGGAACAGCCGGUGGCGGAAGGCGGGUCUCUGGGCCGUGACUGACGCUGAGACGCGAAGCGUGGGGAGCAAACAGG